GCACUGCUGAUGAGUCCCAUAAUAGGACGAAACAGCUGUUCAGUUC
rnacentral:hammerhead_ribozyme from 1 species